rnacentral:rRNA from 2 species
UGGGGGAUAUUGCACAAUGGGCGAAAGCCUGAUGCAGCGACGCCGCGUGGGGGAUGAAGGCUUUCGGGUUGUAAACCUCUUUCGCUAUCGAACAAGGCCCGCUUAGGGUGGGUUGAGGGUAGGUGGAGAAGAAGCGCCGGCUAACUACGUGCCAGCAGCCGCGGUAAUACGUAGGGCGCGAGCAUUGUCCGGAAUUAUUGGGCGUAAAGGGCUUGUAGGCGGCUUGUUGCGCCUGCUGUGAAAACGCGGGGCUUAACUUCGCGCGUGCAGUGGGUACGGGCAGGCUUGAGUGUGGUAGGGGUGACUGGAAUUCCAGGUGUAGCGGUGGAAUGCGCAGAUAUCUGGAGGAACACCGAUGGCGAAGGCAGGUCACUGGGCCAUUACUGACGCUGAGGAGCGAAAGCAUGGGUAGCGAACAGG